GACGAACGCUGGCGGCGUGCCUAAUACAUGCAAGUCGAGCGCAGGAAACUGACGGAACUCUUCGGAGGGAAGGCAGUGGAAUGAGCGGCGGACGGGUGAGUAACACGUAAGGAACCUGCCUCAAGGAUUGGGAUAACUCCGAGAAAUCGGAGCUAAUACCGGAUAGUUCAUCGGACCGCAUGGCCCGUUGAUGAAAGGCGCUCCGGCGUCACCUUGAGAUCGCCUUGCGGUGCAUUAGCUAGUUGGUGGGGUAACGGCCCACCAAGGCGACGAUGCAUAGCCGACCUGAGAGGGUGAUCGGCCACACUGGGACUGAGGCACGGCCCAGACUCCUACGGGAGGCAGCAGUAGGGAAUCUUCCACAAUGGACGAAAGUCUGAUGGAGCAACGCCGCGUGAGUGAUGAAGGUUUUCGGAUCGUAAAACUCUGUUGUAAGGGAAGAACACGUACGAGAGGGAAUGCUCGUACCUUGACGGUACCUUACGAGAAAGCCACGGCUAACUACGUGCCAGCCGCCGCGGUAA
rnacentral:rRNA from 1 species